rnacentral:rRNA from 1 species
GAUGAACGCUGGCGGCGUGCCUAAUACAUGCAAGUCGAGCGAACAGAUGAGGAGCUUGCUCCUCUGACGUUAGCGGCGGACGGGUGAGUAACACGUGGAUAACCUACCUAUAAGACUGGGAUAACUUCGGGAAACCGGACUUAUUACGGGUAAUUUUUUUGAACCGCUGGGUCAAUAGGUGAAAGCGGGUUUGCUGUCCCCUAUUAGAUGGUUCCGCGCCGCAUUAGCUAGUUGGUAAGGUAACGGCUUACCAAGGCAACGAUGCGUAGCCGACCUGAGAGGGUGAUCGGCCACACUGGAACUGAGACACGGUCCAGACUCCUACGGGAGGCAGCAGUAGGGAAUCUUCCGCAAUGGGCGAAAGCCUGACGGAGCAACGCCGCGUGAGUGAUGAAGGUCUUCGGAUCGUAAAACUCUGUUAUUAGGGAAGAACAAAUGUGUAAGUAACUAUGCACGUCUUGACGGUACCUAAUCAGAAAGCCACGGCUAACUACGUG